CCGAGGCACUCUUCCAACCCCAUUGCAUACUGGUUCAUCUAAUAUCUAGUAUAACCUUCCAAGGAGAAACAAGGACUCAUAUCUAGCAGGUGGAAGAACCACGAUUUGAACCUUGGCAGUCUGGCAGCAGAGGCUGAAUCAUUAAUCACUGUCCUAAACCUCUCAUAACUUGGACCUGACUUCUCAGAAGACACCCCCACCUACCUUCACACGAUGCUUUGAGACCCUGGAAAC